GUGUCUCCUAGCACAUGUGAGUUUUGUCUCCGUCAGAAGAGUGACCAUGAGUUUCUUCGCACAAAUGACUUCUUGACCUGUUUGUGUGAUGAGUUUGAGCCUCUUCAUGCCCAGUUACUUGCUCGUCGCCCUUUUGUAUCUCUGGUGGAUGCCCUUGUCGAUGUUCGCAACGAGACUCAUCUUCGUACAGGUGGUUUAUUGUCUUCUUCGGUUUCGUUUUGGCUACUUGGUCUCUGUCUUCACCUUCCCAGACAUCAUUCGUCACCCUUGUGUGAAUCUGGUGGAUGCUCUUGCUGAUGUUAGCAAUGAGACUCGUCUUUGUUCAGCUAGUUUAUUGUCUUCUUCGAUUUCAUUUUGGAUGCUCGGUCUUCAUCUUCGCCUUCCUAGUAUAUUGCUCCCCCGUCGUUGUAGAUGUCAUCGGCAUCUUCUCCUUCUGCACAUGGAAAGGGUAGUGGUUUUCAUUGUGAUCAUUGCGGACAGGAUGGACAUGUAGAGUUUUUCUAUCGAUCAGCUUACUGAUCAUGAAUGUCGUGUUAUUCUUAAUCAUGAUUUCUGUUAUGUUCAGGAUCGUUCCACGGGUCGCUGGGUUGGGUACUGACUCUCAGCACCUUUGGGAUCUUGACUGGCUUCAUCUUUUCCUUCUGCUGCACUUGCCAGCUCUAUCAGCUCUGCAUUAGCUGCUUUGUCCACGUCGUCUUUUGCUCAGUAGCAUCAUUGUCUAGGUCAUCUUUGUGGCACUCAUCUGUCUACUUGAUUCAUUGUGGUCUCCUAGGUUCGGUUUCAAGUCAUGAGUCCUUAGCUCAGUGUUAGGGUUUUCAAC
rnacentral:misc_RNA from 1 species